rnacentral:misc_RNA from 1 species
UUUUUGGUAAACAGGCGGGGUUCUUGUUUGCCGAGUUCCUUUUAUCUUUUUGGAUCUUUCCUUUAGGCAUUCCGGUGUUGGGUUAACAGAGAAGUUAUAGGUGGAUUAUUUAUAGUGUGAUUAUUGCCUAUAGUCUGAUUAACUAACAAUGGUUAUCCGAGUUGUUAUACGCGUAUGUCUGGAGAAUUGGAAUUCUUGUUACUCAUACUAACAGUGUUGCAUCUAUAAAGUUAUAGAUUAACCCAAUUUUAAGUUUAGGAAGUUGGUGUAAAUUAUGGAAUUAAUUGAAAUUUUAUGUUGAGCUUGAACGCUUUCUUUAUUGGUGGCUGCUUUUAGGCCUACAAUGGUUAAAAGCUGUUUUGUUAAUUAUUCACUAUUAAAGGUUUUUUCCGUUCCAGAAGAGCUGUCCCUCUUUUGGCUAUAAUCUAAACUUACUUUUUGAUUUUGUUGUUUUUUUAGCAAGUUUAAAAUUGAACUUAAAUUCAUUUUUUGGGUAACCAGCUAUCACCAAGCUCGUUAGGCUUUUGACCUCUACCUAAAAAUCUUCUCACUAUUUUGCCACAUAGACGAGUUGAUUCAUAAAAUUGUUUUUAGGUAGCUCGUUUGGUUUCGGGGUUUCUAGCUGUAAUUCUUUUAGUUAGAAGUUUUCUAGUUAGUUCAUUAUGCAAAAGGUACAAGGUUUAAUCUUUGCUUGUUCUUACUUUUAAUUAGUCUUUCAUCUUUCCCUUGCGGCACUAAUCCUAGCCCUAGCCCUACACAAAUAUAAUUAUACUAUUAUAUAAAUCAAAACAUUUAUCCUACUAAAAGUAUUGGAGAAAGAAAUUCGUACAUCUAGGAGCUAUAGAACUAGUACCGCAAGGGAAAGAUGAAAGACUAAUUAAAAGUAAGAACAAGCAAAGAUUAAACCUUGUACCUUUUGCAUAAUGAACUAACUAGAAAACUUCUAACUAAAAGAAUUACAGCUAGAAACCCCGAAACCAAACGAGCUACCUAAAAACAAUUUUAUGAAUCAACUCGUCUAUGUGGCAAAAUAGUGAGAAGAUUUUUAGGUAGAGGUCAAAAGCCUAACGAGCUUGGUGAUAGCUGGUUACCCAAAAAAUGAAUUUAAGUUCAAUUUUAAACUUGCUAAAAAAACAACAAAAUCAAAAAGUAAGUUUAGAUUAUAGCCAAAAGAGGGACAGCUCUUCUGGAACGGAAAAAACCUUUAAUAGUGAAUAAUUAACAAAACAGCUUUUAACCAUUGUAGGCCUAAAAGCAGCCACCAAUAAAGAAAGCGUUCAAGCUCAACAUAAAAUUUCAAUUAAUUCCAUAAUUUACACCAACUUCCUAAACUUAAAAUUGGGUUAAUCUAUAACUUUAUAGAUGCAACACUGUUAGUAUGAGUAACAAGAAUUCCAAUUCUCCAGACAUACGCGUAUAACAACUCGGAUAACCAUUGUUAGUUAAUCAGACUAUAGGCAAUAAUCACACUAUAAAUAAUCCACCUAUAACUUCUCUGUUAACCCAACACCGGAAUGCCUAAAGGAAAGAUCCAAAAAGAUAAAAGGAACUCGGCAAACAAGAACCCCGCCUGUUUACCAAAAACAUCACCUCUAGCAUUACAAGUAUUAGAGGCACUGCCUGCCCAGUGACUAAAGUUUAACGGCCGCGGUAUCCUGACCGUGCAAAGGUAGCAUAAUCACUUGUUCCUUAAUUAGGGACUAGCAUGAACGGCUAAACGAGGGUCCAACUGUCUCUUAUCUUUAAUCAGUGAAAUUGACCUUUCAGUGAAGAGGCUGAAAUAUAAUAAUAAGACGAGAAGACCCUAUGGAGCUUAAAUUAUAUAACUUAUCUAUUUAAUUUAUUAAACCUAAUGGCCCAAAAACUAUAGUAUAAGUUUGAAAUUUCGGUUGGGGUGACCUCGGAGAAUAAAAAAUCCUCCGAAUGAUUAUAACCUAGACUUACAAGUCAAAGUAAAAUCAACAUAUCUUAUUGACCCAGAUAUAUUUUGAUCAACGGACCAAGUUACCCUAGGGAUAACAGCGCAAUCCUAUUUAAGAGUUCAUAUCGACAAUUAGGGUUUACGACCUCGAUGUUGGAUCAGGACAUCCCAAUGGUGUAGAAGCUAUUAAUGGUUCGUUUGUUCAACGAUUAAAGUCCUACGUGAUCUGAGUUCAGACCGGAGCAAUCCAGGUCGGUUUCUAUCUAUUUACGAUUUCUCCCAGUACGAAAGGACAAGAGAAAUAGAGCCACCUUACAAAUAAGCGCUCUCAACUUAAUUUAUGAAUAAAAUCUAAAUAAAAUAUAUACGUACACCC